GAUGAACGCUGGCGGCGUGCCUAAUACAUGCAAGUCGAGCGAACAGACGAGGAGCUUGCUCCUCUGACGUUAGCGGCGGACGGGUGAGUAACACGUGGAUAACCUACCUAUAAGACUGGGAUAACUUCGGGAAACCGGAGCUAAUACCGGAUAAUAUAUUGAACCGCAUGGUUCAAUAGUGAAAGACGGUUUUGCUGUCACUUAUAGAUGGAUCCGCGCCGCAUUAGCUAGUUGGUAAGGUAGCGGCUUACCAAGGCAACGAUGCGUAGCCGACCUGAGAGGGUGAUCGGCCACACUGGAACUGAGACACGGUCCAGACUCCUACGGGAGGCAGCAGUAGGGAAUCUUCCGCAAUGGGCGAAAGCCUGACGGAGCAACGCCGCGUGAGUGAUGAAGGUCUUCGGAUCGUAAAACUCUGUUAUUAGGGAAGAACAAAUGUGUAAGUAACUAUGCACGUCUUGACGGUACCUAAUCAGAAAGCCACGGCUAACUAUGUG
rnacentral:rRNA from 1 species